rnacentral:rRNA from 1 species
AAAUUGAAGAGUUUGAUCAUGGCUCAGAUUGAACGCUGGCGGCAGGCCUAACACAUGCAAGUCGAGCGGAAACGAGUUAUCUGAACCUUCGGGGAAUGAUAACGGCGUCGAGCGGCGGACGGGUGAGUAAUGCCUAGGAAAUUGCCCUGAUGUGGGGGAUAACCAUUGGAAACGAUGGCUAAUACCGCAUGAUGCCUACGGGCCAAAGAGGGGGACCUUCGGGCCUCUCGCGUCAGGAUAUGCCUAGGUGGGAUUAGCUAGUUGGUGAGGUAAGGGCUCACCAAGGCGACGAUCCCUAGCUGGUCUGAGAGGAUGAUCAGCCACACUGGAACUGAGACACGGUCCAGACUCCUACGGGAGGCAGCAGUGGGGAAUAUUGCACAAUGGGCGCAAGCCUGAUGCAGCCAUGCCGCGUGUGUGAAGAAGGCCUUCGGGUUGUAAAGCACUUUCAGUCGUGAGGAAGGUAGUGUAGUUAAUAGCUGCAUUAUUUGACGUUAGCGACAGAAGAAGCACCGGCUAACUCCGUGCCAGCAGCCGCGGUAAUACGGAGGGUGCGAGCGUUAAUCGGAAUUACUGGGCGUAAAGCGCAU